GACGAACGCUGGCGGCGUGCCUAAUACAUGCAAGUCGAACGCAGUGGGGACGGGUGAGUAACACGUGGGUAACCUCCCAUCAGAGGGGAUAACACUUGGAAACAGGUGCUAAACCGAUACUGAUGGAUGGACCCGCGGGGCAUUAGCUAGUUGGUGAGGUAACGGCUCACCAAGGCCACGAUGCAUAGACGACCUGGGCGGGGGAUAGGCCACACUGGGACGGGGACAGCGCCCAGGCGCCUACGGGAGGCAGCAGUAGGGAAUCUUCGGCAAUGGACGAAAGUCUGGCCGAGCAACGCCGCGUGAGUGAAGAAGGUGUUCGGAUCGUAAUACUCUGUUGUGAGAGAAGCGGUAUCUAACCAAAAAGCCACGGCUAACUACGUGCCAGCAGCCGCGGUAAUAC
rnacentral:rRNA from 1 species